ACAAGCGGAGGAGCAUGUGGUUAAUUCGAUGAUACGCGAGGAACCUUACCUGGGCUCGAACGUAAGAUGACUGUAGGUGAAAGCUUACAUCUCUUCGGAGCAUUUUACGAGGUGCUGCAUGGUUGUCGUCAGCUCGUGCCGUGAGGUGUCGGGUUAAGUCCCAUAACGAGCGCAACCCUACCUUUAGUUGCCAUCAGGUAAUGCUGGGGACUCUAAAGGAACUGCCUACGCAAGUAGUGAGGAAGCGGGGAUGACGUCAAAUCAGCACGGCCCUUACGUCCAGGGCUACACACGUGCUACAAUGGCCGAUACAGAGGGCAGCUACCUGGUGACAGGAUGCAAAUCUCAAAGUCGGUCUCAGUUCGGAUCGGAGUCUGCAACCCGACUCCGUGAAGUUGGAUUCGCUAGUAAUCGCGCAUCAGCCAUGACGCGGUGAAUACGUUCCCGGGCCUU
rnacentral:rRNA from 1 species